UACGUAGGGGGCAAGCGUUGUCCGGAAUCAUUGGGCGUAAAGCGCGUGUAGGCGGCUCGAUAAGUCUGCUGUGAAAGUCCAAGGCUCAACCUUGGGAUGCCGGUGGAUACUGUCGAGCUCGAGUCCGGAAGAGGAGUGUGGAAUUCCUGGUGUAGCGGUGAAAUGCGCAGAUAUCAGGAGGAACACCAAUGGCGAAGGCAGCUCGCUGGGACGGUACUGACGCUGAGACGCGAAAGCGUGGGGAGCGAACAGG
rnacentral:rRNA from 1 species